CGUAGGUGGCGAGCGUUUGUCCGGAAUUAUUGGGCGUAAAGGGAGCGCAGGCGGGAGGUCAAGUCUAUCUUAAAAGUGCGGGGCUCAACCCCGUGAGGGGAUGGAAACUGGUCUUCUUGAGUGCAGGAGAGGAAAGCGGAAUUCCUAGUGUAGCGGUGAAAUGCGUAGAUAUUAGGAGGAACACCAGUGGCGAAGGCGCUUUCUGGACUGUAACUGACGCUGAGGCUCGAAAGCGUGGGGAGCGA
rnacentral:rRNA from 1 species